GUAAAAAAAAAUAAAAGAUAACACAAUAAGUAUUUCUUGUCAAAAAAAUAAAAGGUAUUUCUUAAUACAACCUAGGAAUAAAUGGUCUAAUUAUAUUUUUUAUUUUUAUAACAUGAUGGUCUUUAACAUAAAUUUAGUAAUAUUAAUUUAAAGAUAGGAUCAUACAAUGAGGCCAUUUGAAAUUUCUCUUUCUGCUAACAAUCUUUUCUACUAAUUUAUUCUAGAAACCUAAAAAAUUAAAAAAAAUUGGUACGCAUUCUAAUAAUUUCUACAUUGAUAACCAAAUCUUUUAUUUUAUUUAUUAAUUUUUGUAUUAUAAAUCAUAUAGUGUACUAUUUUUCUUACAGUUGU
rnacentral:lncRNA from 1 species